ACGAAUGGAUGGAGAUGGUCAGAAAUUUUGAAAGAGAGAAAGAGUAUGUUGAAAUCCAGUGUGUUUAUUUUCAGCUUAUUGUAACCAACCGCCAACUCGCCGUCGCCGACCAGAUUGUAGGAGAGUCCUAAUUACUAAGUACUACUCAAGGGUGGCUUAAUACACUCCUUGCUACAUUGCUUGUCGCCUCUGUAUACGUGCGAGUGUUGCUCCUUGUGAUGCUGAGACCAUAAUUCUGGAAGUACGACUUGGGGUAGAGAUACCAAGGCUAACUUGGCAAGAAAGAUGGAUUUGCAAGGGGCUUUGUAAGCAAGUCUGCCACUUGCAUCUUGGAUGAAACAUG